UGUGUACUCCAUCUGUUCCAAAAUACUUGACUUCCAUUUGUCCAAAAAUGGAUGUACCUAUAUACUAAAACAUGUCUAGAUACAUAUAUAUUUUGACAAAUAGAAGGCAUGUAUUGUGCAACGGAGGGAGUAGAAU
rfam:Triticum aestivum genome assembly, contig: Triticum_aestivum_CS42_TGACv1_scaffold_147400_2BS